rnacentral:misc_RNA from 1 species
UCCCGAGUGAAACUGAAAAAGAAUAAUAUUGUCAACCAUUGUCAUUUCACAAUUAUCAUAUUGCUGCGUUUACAGCAUCCAACGUUUCAUUAGAACUGAACAAAACAGUAAGCUCAAACUUCAAGUCUACGCUUAAAAGUUUUAACAUUUAUUUCCCAACUUUCUAAAAACACAAACUAUAAACAAGGAAAACUAUCCCCAUUUAUCGAAGCCCUAAUUUGACAAUCCAAAAAAGGGCGGAAUUCAAAACCAUACCCGAGCAGAUCCACAUAUUAUUCCGCAUCGGCGGAUUCAAGUUCGAGGCGUUUUAGGGCUUCUUGGUGGGCCCAAGUUUCAAGGGUGAGAUCGGGCUUGGCAUUGAGUCCCACACCCAGGAUGACGAUGGUGAAGAAGCUGGUGAUGUAGCAAGGGAGUUCCCAAUCCUCCCAUUUACGGGACUGUCCAGGCGGUGGUGGAACACGGUUGAAUAGGUAUCCGUUAGGUCGAUCCUGGUGGCCCGCAGUGGUGAAUGGAUUCGGCCCGUGUCCUCCUCUGGUGCGGAGGCCCGAACUAACACGGGCUCGUAGCGCGCCGGCGGCGGUCGCUAAGGGUUUCACGGACGGCAUCGUUGGACAGAUGAACGAAAGUGUGUGAGAGACUGGGCCACGGUUGAGUAUUUGUGUAUUUG